CGGUUGAUCCUGCCGGACCUCACUGCUAUCGGGGUGGGGACAAAACAUGCAAGUCGAGCGUCUCCCAAGCUAUGUUGUGGAGCCGCGGCAUACGGCUCAGUAACACGUGGCUAACCUACCCUUGGGACGGGGAUAACCCCGGGAAACUGGGGCUAAUCCCCGAUAGGCGAGGACUCCAGGAAUGGGUCCUCGCCGAAAAGACAUCGAGUGCAUGCUACUCGAUGUCGCCCAAGGAUGGAGCCGCGUCCGAUCAGGCAGUUGGUGAGGCAACGGCUCACCAAGCCUAUAACCGGUACGGGCCGUGAGAGCGGGAGCCCGGAGAUGGGCACUGAGAUAAGGGCCCAGGCCCUACGGGGCGCAGCAGUUGCGAAAACUCCACAAUGCACGAAAGUGCGAUGGGGCUACCCCGAGUGCCGUCCGCUGAGGACGGCUUUUCUACGGUGUAAGGAGCCGGGGGAAUAAGGAGAGGGCAAGCCUGGUGUCAGCCGCCGCGGUAAUACCAGCUCUCCGAGUGGUGAGGACGAUUAUUGGGCUUAAAGCGUUCGUAGCCGGCUUAACAAGUCUUCCGUUAAAUUCAACGAUCUAAUCGUUGGUCUGCGGAAGAUACUGUUGGGCUAGGAGGCGGGAGAAGCCGACGGUAUUCUCGGGGUAGGGGUGAAAUCCUGUAAUCCCGGGAGGACCACCAGUGGCGAAGGCUGUCGGCUAGAACGCGCUCGACGGUGAGGGACGAAAGCUGGGGGAGCGAACCGGAUUAGAAACCCGGAUAGUCCCAGCUGUAAACGAUGCGGGCUAGGUGUUGGGGUGGCUACGAGCCACUUCAGUGCCGCAUGGAAGCAAUUAAGCCCGCCGCCUGGGGAGUACGGCCGCAAGGCUGAAACUUAAAGGAAUUGGCGGGGGAGCAC
rnacentral:rRNA from 1 species